ensembl:lncRNA
GCGAGAACAUCACGCGAGAAGACCACUCAAGAAAACCACGCGAGAAGAUCGUGCAGCUGGAAACAGCUGCUGGCGGUAAAGCGUGAGGCUGACGGCGUGAAACUGGGCAGAGCAGGCCGCGACCUGAGGUGCUUGUGGCGGACAAGAGCCUGGGCGCCGAAGCCCUCGCCGGGUGUUCGUUAACAGGCACAAGGCCAUAGUUAGAGAAAGACAGAGCACGGCCAGGUCCCUUCAAAGCCUCCAGUCGACGAAAGGACUGGUUUAGAACUGAAGGCCGCGAGGAAGCUGUCCCUUCUGGGGUCCACGGGUCGGACGCUGAACAUGCACCAGACAGCGGCCCGCGUCCAGGUCAGCCUUCAGCAGGUCGCGUGGCCCUCCCUGAGUGGCUCCCACCAACGGGCCCAGUGUCCGGCUGCUGAACGAAGCAACUGAGAAACCUGGGAGCGCUGGGAUUUCAGCCAGAGCAGGUCUUUUCAACAAACCUAGAAGCUGUUGAAAGGUUCAUCUGUGUAUCCCCAGGUCCUAAACAGCAUCUGGAGCACAGUAGACAGAUAGUAACUGUUUACUGAAUGAAUAAGUGAGGAAGGAAGGAAGGAAGACUGAAUUGAAGAAGAAAAGGAAGGAUUGAAGGAAGGAAGAAGUAAACAGAUGGUAAGCUCACGAAAAGGGCCCUGUUUCAUGAACUAGGCUUAACCCCAAGAACAUUGAUCUCGGCCCCAACUAUCUAAUGAGAAUGAAG